UACGUAGGGGGCGAGCGUUGUCCGGAAUCAUUGGGCGUAAAGCGCGUGUAGGCGGCCCGGUAAGUCCGCUGUGAAAGUCCAGGGCUCAACCCUGGGAUGCCGGUGGAUACUGUCGGGCUCGAGUCCGGAAGAGGCGAGUGGAAUUCCUGGUGUAGCGGUGAAAUGCGCAGAUAUCAGGAGGAACACCAUGGCGAAGGCAGCUCGCUGGGACGUGACUGACGCUGAGACGCGAAAGCGUGGGGAGCAAACAGG
rnacentral:rRNA from 1 species